GCCCUCGUUGUCUAAUGGUUAUGACGUCAGACUUCUAAUCUGGAGGUUGUGGGUUCGAGUCCCACCGGGGGUA
rnacentral:tRNA from 1 species